UACGAAGGGGGCUAGCGUUGCUCGGAAUCACUGGGCGUAAAGCACACGUAGGCGGCUUUUUAAGUCAGAGGUGAAAUCCUGGAGCUCAACUCCAGAACUGCCUUUGAUACUGGAGAGCUUGAGUCCGGGAGAGGUGAGUGGAACUGCGAGUGUAGAGGUGAAAUUCGUAGAUAUUCGCAAGAACACCAGUGGCGAAGGCGGCUCACUGGCCCGGUACUGACGCUGAGGUGCGAAAGCGUGGGUAGCAAACAGG
rnacentral:rRNA from 1 species